rnacentral:rRNA from 1 species
UACGUAGGGAGCAAGCGUUGUCCGGAAUCAUUGGGCGUAAAGCGCGCGUAGGUGGCCUCAUAAGUCCGCUGUGAAAGUCAAAGGCUCAACCUUUGAAAGCCGGUGGAUACUGUGAGGCUAGAGUACGGAAGAGGCGAGUGGAAUUCCUGGUGUAGCGGUGGAAUGCGCAGAUAUCAGGAGGAACACCUAUAGCGAAGGCAGCUUGCUGGGACGUUACUGACGCUAAGGCGCGAAAGCGUGGGGAGCGAACAGG